GGAUAACCUGCCCUUGGGUCCGGCAUAACCCCGGGAAACUGGGGAUAAUUCCGGAUAACGCACAUAUGCUGGAAUGCUUUAUGCGUAAAAUGGAUUCGUCUGCCCAAGGAUGGGUCUGCGGCCUAUCAGGUAGUAGUGGGUGUAAUGUACCUACUAGCCAACAACGGGUACGGGUUGUGAGAGCAAGAGCCCGGAGAUGGAUUCUGAGACAUGAAUCCAGGCCCUACGGGGCGCAGCAGGCGCGAAAACUUUACAAUGCGGGAAACCGUGAUAAGGGGACACCGAGUGCCAGCAUCAUAUGCUGGCUGUCCAGGUGUGUAAAAUACACCUGUUAGCAAGGGCCGGGCAAGACCGGUGCCAGCCGCCGCGGUAACACCGGCGGCCCGAGUGGUGAUCGUGAUUAUUGGGUCUAAAGGGUCCGUAGCCGGUUUGGUCAGUCCUCCGGGAAAUCUGAUAGCUCAACUGUUAGGCUUUCGGGGGAUACUGCCAGACUUGGAACCGGGAGAGGUAAGAGGUACUACAGGGGUAGGAGUGAAAUCUUGUAAUCCCUGUGGGACCACCUGUGGCGAAGGCGUCUUACCAGAACGGGUUCGACGGUGAGGGACGAAAGCUGGGGGCACGAACCGGAUUAGAUACCCGGGUAGUCCCAGCCGUAAACGAUGCUCGCUAGGUGUCAGGCAUGGCGCGACCGUGUCUGGUGCCGCAGGGAAGCCGUGAAGCGAGCCACCUGGGAAGUACNGCCGCAAGGCUGAAACUUAA
rnacentral:rRNA from 1 species